ACCCUAAUUCUACGGAAGAUACAACGAAGCGGCCAUUACUAGUUAACUGCAGAAAAUGGUCGGUCCAUUUCUCCGAUCUCUCUGGUACACGUCUCUGAUAAACAGCCACCAGAAAAUCCCUCUCUUUUUACUCCUCUAAUUAUCUAAAGCCUCAUUUAUUCGGAUGCGCCUUCUCCACAGCGAGCGCCACUGCCGCCGUUUCAUCCGCGGCGACUCUGGACGGUGCUGUGGACCCUGGCCAGCUGAGGAACGUGGCUGUUAUAGCCCACGUCGACCAUGGAAGGACCGCCCUCAAAGAUAGGUUCCUCCGCCAGUGCGGUUCUGACAUCCCCCACAAAUAGACUUCAUCAGCCUCGAGCGCGAGCUUGGCAUCACCAUUGCUUCUUAGUCACCAUUAUGAGUGGAGGAUGAUGACAAAGAAUGAGGGGGAAAAUGACAAAGAUGAGGAGGACGAUAGGAGAAUGGAAAACACGCUGAUGAUUCUUUUAAAGAUCCUACCAGUAACAAUGACAUAGGAGAUUUCUGGUAGUAAUGAAAAAAGUCGGUCUUACUGCUGCAACCAUUUGGUUGGUAGUAGGUCGAUGAAAGUUUAUGAGAUGUAUUUUUUCCCGAGCAGCUAGAGGAUGUAGAUUUUUGGUCUCUUGUGACGGUGUAUUAUGGUUAAUGAAAAUAUAUUUAUAUUUCCUCUGUUGCUUAUGCUAAUUUACAUUUUAGAUGUCCGGAUGGACUAUACCACUGAUUUUUCACUUUUUAAUACCACCCUUUAAGAAGUGAAAAAUGAAAUUUGGAAAUUGUAUACACAAAUAGUUCUUGUUUUCUUGAUGCCAAUAGACUGGGUGUCUCUUCUUCUAAGUCUGCAUAUAAGGUCUCUUCUUCUAUGUCUGCACAUAAGGGCAAUGUAAGUUGUGGUGGAAUAAUAUUCGUGACUUUUGGAUUUGUACAUUCUUAUGAAGUUGACUUACAUCA